UACGGAGGGUGCAAGCGUUAUUCGGAAUCACUGGGCGUAAAGGGUGCGUAGGCGGGUCUUUAAGUCAGAGGUGAAAUCCUGGAGCUCAACUCCAGAACUGCCUUUGAUACUGAGGAUCUUGAGUUCGGGAGAGGUGAGUGGAACUGCGAGUGUAGAGGUGAAAUUCGUAGAUAUUCGCAAGAACACCAGUGGCGAAGGCGGCUCACUGGCCCGAUACUGACGCUGAGGCACGAAAGCGUGGGGAGCAAACAGG
rnacentral:rRNA from 1 species